AUUGAACGCUGGCGGCAGGCCUAACACAUGCAAGUCGAACGAGUGGCGGACGGGUGAGUAAUGUCUGGGAAACUGCCUGAUGGAGGGGGAUAACUACUGGAAACGGUAGCUAAUACCGCAUACCAUCGGAUGUACCCAGAUGGGAUUAGCUGGUAGGUGGGGUAACGGCUCACCUAGGCGACGAUCCCUAGCUGGUCUGAGAGGAUGACCAGCCACACUGGAACUGAGACACGGCCCAGACUCCUACGGGAGGCAGCAGUGGGGAAUAUUGCACAAUGGGCGCAAGCCUGAUGCAGCCAUGCCGCGUGUAUGAAGAAGGCCUUCGGGUUGUAAAGCACUUUCAGCGGGGAGGCGUUACCCGCAGAAGAAGCACCGGCUAACUCCGUGCCAGCAGCCGCGGUAAUAC
rnacentral:rRNA from 1 species